rnacentral:misc_RNA from 1 species
GGCAAGGUCUUGCAUUGCGCGUGCAGAUUCGCUUACGCUACUUUCGCUCCAUCCUCCCAUCUGCUGGCGCUGGUCGCUAUCAGUCUCCAUAGACUCUUGUCUCUGCUUCCUCUGUCUUUCUUCUUCUUUAUUUUCUGAACCAUAAAAAAAGAAAAAAAAACUCCUCUUCAGUGCAGUCUUCUCUACAGAAUCAAAACCAGGCUGCUACUGAAACCCCUAUCUACAUUUCAUUUCUUGCGAACCUGAAUCCUUUCCUCUAUAAGACCCUAAAGGAGGAGGAUUGGCCUGCAAUUUCUCCGAUCCGGUUGUCCGCUCAAUGUUCAACACCGGGAGCAACUCUCCCCAUGGAAUUCCUCUUUCCAGCGGCGGUGGAGGAUUCUGG